CUACGGGAGGCUCCAGUGGGGAAUAUUGGACAAUGGGCGGAAGCCUGAUCCAGCCAUGCCGCGUGUGUGAAGAAGGCCUUUUGGUUGUAAAGCACUUUAAGCGAGGAGGAGGCUCCUUUAGUUAAUACCUAAAGAGAGUGGACGUUACUCGCAGAAUAAGCACCGGCUAACUCUGUGCCAGCAGCCGCGGUAAUACAGAGGGUGCGAGCGUUAAUCGGAUUUACUGGGCGUAAAGCGUGCGUAGGCGGCUUUUUAAGUCGGAUGUGAAAUCCCUGAGCUUAACUUAGGAAUUGCAUUCGAUACUGGAAAGCUAGAGUAUGGGAGAGGAUGGUAGAAUUCCAGGUGUAGCGGUGAAAUGCGUAGAGAUCUGGAGGAAUACCGAUGGCGAAGGCAGCCAUCUGGCCUAAUACUGACGCUGAGGUACGAAAGCAUGGGGAGCAAACAGGAUUAGAUACCCUUGUAGUC
rnacentral:rRNA from 1 species